GUCCACGCUGUAAACGGUGCGCACUAGGUGUGGGAGGUAUCGACCCCUCCUGUGCCGCAGUCAACACAUUAAGUGCGCCGCCUGGGGAGUACGGCCGCAAGGUUGAAACUCAAAGGAAUUGACGGGGGCCCCGCACAAGCGGUGGAGGAUGUUGUUUAAUUCGACGCAACGCGAAGAACCUUACCUGGGCUUGAACUGCCGGAUAAACCUCUGGAAACAGGGGCUGUGGCAACACGAUCCGGUAGAGGUGCUGCAUGGCUGUCGU
rnacentral:rRNA from 1 species